rnacentral:tRNA from 1 species
GCCUGGGUGGCUCAGUCGGUUAAGCGUCCGACUUCAGCUCGGGUCAUGAUCUCGCGGUCCGUGAGUUCGAGCCCCGCAUCAGGCU